rnacentral:tRNA from 1 species
GGGGUUGCUUCGGAAGCCUGGGAUUUUGAAAGUCCUUAAAAAACGUUCAACUCGUUUACCCCA